CAAUUUAUAGGUUUUCUAAUUUACGUUAUUUUCCAUGUGUCAUCUGAUUUACCUAUUUUAUGGCUUCCCGCUCAAUCUCUUCCGAUUUCUUAGCUUGGUCAUUUCAAAAUGGUUUCCAUGAAUAUCUCCCAAAUAUACGCACACAUUUAUUGCUAUUCUGCUUCGUAUUCAAAUUUCAAUUUGAGAAAAUGGCAACGCUAUUUAUUUCAUAUUUAAAAUCCCGUAUUCUAAAUUCAAUUUAGAAAUUUGUUUGAGUUCAUAUUUGGAUUGAACAGCUAAUUAGAAUCAUCUGAUGGAAUUGGACGUAUUGUUAAUGCAUCUUUUUCAUAUCAAAUGAGAGAAUGUGCGGUUUGAUUUUGUGGAUUUGGCAUAGCUUCUGUUGUUUGAUUCCCGAUCGAGAGAGAUAGAGUUGGAGAGAGCACACACGAUUGAUGGAGAUAUAAAUGUUAAUUAUAUGAGAAUAAUCUAGGGUUUUUGGUUUUCUGCUUCAGAUUGAUGGAGAUGGAGGGGGAAUGUGCUGCAGGAGAAGAGGUUCAACAAGGAAAAAAUAUUGGCAUUUUGAUUUUAAGGCCAGACCACUACUUUUCCAAUUGAAAACUGAUCUGUAAUGGAACCCGUUGCAUAUAAUUGUGCUUUUAUUCCAGAAAGCAGCUCAUGAUUCACAUUUUAAGACCAACUCGUGGUGACUGAUGUUUCUAAUGCUGGAAAUUGCUCUCAAGCUUGGCUGUUUUUUUAUUUGGCUUUUGAUUUCAUCUACCAAGCUUGAAUGCAUGAAGUGCUGAAGUGCUCUGUAUCCUCUUCUGAUUGUUUGCUAUUGUCAUGUGUCCUGUGGAAGUCUAAAGUCCAUUGCUCUCUAAAUGGUUUGCCUUUGGUCCUUGCUGGUGGUUGCUCUCAAGAUUGGUUUGAUAAAGUUUGGAGUUUGAUCUCAUCCAUCUCGAUUGAAUGAUGUGAAUACUCUAUUGAUCUUUUUUUUUUUUCUAUUGUUAUGUUCCUUUUCAAAAGCCCAAAGUUUCACAUUUUAAUUGGGUUGAUCUUAAUUUUCCUGGUGGUGUUUUUGUUGAUACUAUACUACGCUAAAAAAUGUUCAAUUCUAUUCUUGGGGUUUGGUCCUCCCUUGGUGCUCUUUCAAGGAUCAUGUGUUUCUUAUGUUAUGUUUUGUAUUUGUUGGACUCCAAAUUUCGUCACAUCAAAAUAAUGAAGCAAUAGAGAUGUA